UUCCCCCACCCCACGGACAAGUGCCGGCAGUGCCACUGCAUUAAUGGAAACGUCCAGUGCCUCUCACGUCGCUGCCCGCCCCUUCUGUGCCCGGAACCAUUCCUGAUGCCCGGAGAAUGCUGCCCCCGGUGUCCAGCUCCCCCAGCUGGCUGCU